UGGCGGACGGGUGAGUAAUGCAUAGGAAUCUGCCCGAUAGUGGGGGAUAACCUGGGGAAACCCAGGCUAAUACCGCAUACGUCCUACGGGAGAAAGGGGGCUCCGGCUCCCGCUAUCGGAUGAGCCUAUGUCGGAUUAGCUGGUUGGUGAGGUAAAGGCUCACCAAGGCGACGAUCCGUAGCUGGUCUGAGAGGAUGAUCAGCCACAUCGGGACUGAGACACGGCCCGAACUCCUACGGGAGGCAGCAGUGGGGAAUAUUGGACAAUGGGGGCAACCCUGAUCCAGCCAUGCCGCGUGUGUGAAGAAGGCCCUCGGGUUGUAAAGCACUUUCAGUGAGGAAGAACGCCUGGUGGUUAAUACCCAUCAGGAAAGACAUCACUCACAGAAGAAGCACCGGCUAACUCCGUGCCAGCAGCCGCGGUAAUACGGAGGGUGCGAGCGUUAAUCGGAAUUACUGGGCGUAAAGCGCGCGUAGGUGGCUUGAUAAGCCGGUUGUGAAAGCCCCGGGCUCAACCUGGGAACGGCAUCCGGAACUGUCAAGCUAGAGUGCAGGAGAGGAAGGUAGAAUUCCCGGUGUAGCGGUGAAAUGCGUAGAGAUCGGGAGGAAUACCAGUGGCGAAGGCGGCCUUCUGGACUGACACUGACACUGAGGUGCGAAAGCGUGGGUGGCAAACAGGAUUAGAUACCCUGGUAGUCCACGCCGUAAACGAUGUCGACCAGCCGUUGGGUGCCUAGCGCACUUUGUGGCGAAGUUAACGCGAUAAGUCGACCGCC
rnacentral:rRNA from 1 species